CCUAGAAUGAAUCUGAGAAUGAAAUUAGUUGGGAAAGGAAUUAGAGAAUAGUAAAGAGAGAGAUAUUUUGCAGAGAAUGAUAAAUGGAAGAAAGAAAUAGGAAAGAAAGGAAUAUCUGGAGAUUGAAAGAGAGAAGAUGAGAAGAAUUGAGAGAGAGAAAGGGAUUUCUAUUAAUUCUUGGAAUUUCAAGAAAGAAAGAAGAAG
rnacentral:misc_RNA from 1 species